AGCAGGUGGCUCAGUGGUUAAAGCUCUGGGUUAGUGAUUAGAAGGUCCGGGGUUCAAGCCCCAGCACUGCCA